rnacentral:rRNA from 1 species
CCUACGGGGGACAGCAGUGAGGAAUAUUGGUCAAUGGGCGCGAGCCUGAACCAGCCAAGCCGCGUGAGGGAUGAAGGUUCUAUGGAUCGUAAACCUCUUUUAUAAGGGAAUAAAGUGUGGGACGUGUCCUAUUUUGUAUGUACCUUAUGAAUAAGGAUCGGCUAACUCCGUGCCAGCAGCCGCGGUAAUACGGAGGAAUCAAGCGUUAUCCGGAUUUAUUGGGUUUAAAGGGUGCGUAGGCGGCCUUUUAAGUCAGCGGUGAAAGUCUGUGGCUUAACCAUAGAAUUGCCUUUGAAACUGGGAGGCUAGAGUAUGUGUGAGGCAGGCGGAAUGCGUGGUGUAGCGGUGAAAUGCUUAGAUAUCACGCAGAACCCCGAUUGCGAAGGCAGCUUGCCAAGCCAUGACUGACGCUGAGGCACGAAAGCGUGGGGAGCAAACAGGAUUAGAUACCCGGGUAGUC